UACGAAGGGGGCUAGCGUUGCUCGGAAUCACUGGGCGUAAAGGGUGCGUAGGCGGGGCUUUAAGUCAGGGGUGAAAUCCUGGAGCUCAACUCCAGAACUGCCUUUGAUACUGAAGAUCUUGAGUUCGGGAGAGGUGAGUGGAACUGCGAGUGUAGAGGUGAAAUUCGUAGAUAUUCGCAAGAACACCAGUGGCGAAGGCGGCUAACUGGUCCGGUUCUGACGCUGAGGCGCGAAAGCGUGGGGAGCAAACAGG
rnacentral:rRNA from 1 species